GAAUCGGAAAUGGAGAGGCAGUAUGUUGUUUGCUAUUUUAUCUAUGUAAAAUAGAAGGAGAUGCUCCCGACAACGGUGGAUGAGAAAAAGGUGUAGGGGUGUCAAUCGUAGACACUCAUAAAAAUAGGAUUAUGCCAAUUGACAGCAUGGAUGACUGAUGUGCAUAUGCAUGUCUGAAUAUUAAUAUAGGAUCCGGAUGAGCAAGAUCAUGUAUCUCGCCAGAUCGUUCUUCUGCCAUAGACAUGUACAUAUUGAGCAGUAUAAUAUAAAAUAAUAAAUAUGAAAAGUAAUUAAAUAAAAUUUAACUCAUUCUAGAUAGCCAAACAUUGUAUGAGUACGAAUCGAUGAGUGAUAUGAUGGUAUCAUUAUAUAUAGGAUUUAUAAAAGUUCAUGGCACC
rnacentral:lncRNA from 1 species